AGUGAACGCUGGCGGCAGGCUUAACACAUGCAAGUCGAACGGCAGCACAGCAAUAGCUUGCCCUUACCUGGCGCGAGUGGCGGACGUGCGAGGAAUAUAUCCGACCCUCCCUUUUCUUGGGGGUUAACGUAGGGAAACUUACGCUAUUACCGCAUACCUUCUUCGGGUGCAUGCAUUGGAUAUUCUGACCUUGCGCGAUUGUAUUGGCCGUUGUCGGAUUUGCUAGUUGGCGGGGUAAAGGCCCCCCAAGGCGACGAUCCGAUGCUGAUCUGAGAGGAUGAUCAGCCACACUGGAACUGAAACACGGUCCAGACUCCUACGGGAGGCAGCAGUGGAGAAUAUUGGACAAGGGGCGCAAGCCUAAUCCAGCCAUACCGCGUGGGUUAAGAAGGCCUUCGGGUUGUAAAGCCCUUUUGUUGGGAAAGAAAAGCAGCAGGUUAAUACCCCGCUGUUCCGACGGUACCCAAAGAAUAAGCACCGGCUAACUUCGUG
rnacentral:rRNA from 1 species